UAACUGUAAAAAUGCCAUGAAACCUUAGGUGAGAUAAGUAGAACAUAAUUAUCAUUUAAAGAAAAUUAGAGAUAUUUAAACUAUAUAUUAAGUGCCAUAUUCAAAAGAGAAAAUUGAAGGUGAUUUAAGAGAAGGCUUCAAAUACAUGGAGCAGGAAAAAUUGUGUCAUUUGAAGCUGAAUUACUCCUAACAGCAUUAUUAGCUCAAGAUGGGUAAUUGUUAAUUUAUAAGUCAAAGGAUAAAA